AAGAUGGAUGCAAAUGCUGGGAAAGCAAGAGCUGAAUUGCUAGCCACGAGGAAAACGUAAGCCUGAGCUGUUUGCUGGCCAUCUUUGCUUCCACAUGGGGACAGCCUGCCUGGAAAUGAAGCCACACAGACAAAACAGAAGAGCAGUGAAGAGAAAGGUAAAAGGAGAGAUCCCAUGACAUGAUUUGCACUCUUAGAUCCAGUUAUGCCUGACGCAGGACCCACCCCUUGGACUUCCCAUUUCCAGGAGCUAAAACUAGAUUGAGUUGAGUUUCUUUCUGUCACUUACAGUUGACAGAAAAUAUCAACAAUCCAGCCACAUGGAGCCUCGUGGCAGUAGCGCUAACCCUGGUCACCACAUGAAUACUGACCAGAGGCAUUUCACCUGAAUCAGCUGUUUGUGUUCUUAACUCCUCAUCUGCUUCCUGGAAGACCCAGCUGACACAGAUGUUUACAAAAAAUGAUUUCCUCCUUAUAAAACUUUGGCUUCUUGUAUAGAAGAUGCCUAAAAAAUGUUUGCUGAAUGAAGAAAUAAAGG